GAUGAACGCUGGCGGCGUGCCUAAUACAUGCAAGUCGAGCGAACGGACGAGAAGCUUGCUUCUCUGAUGUUAGCGGCGGACGGGUGAGUAACACGUGGAUAACCUACCUAUAAGACUGGGAUAACUUCGGGAAACCGGAGCUAAUACCGGAUGAUAUUUUGAACCGCAUGGUUCAAAAGUGAAAGACGGUCUUGCUGUCACUUAUAGAUGGAUCCGCGCUGCAUUAGCUAGUUGGUAAGGUAACGGCUUACCAAGGCAACGAUGCAUAGCCGACCUGAGAGGGUGAUCGGCCACACUGGAACUGAGACACGGUCCAGACUCCUACGAGGGGCAGCAGUAGGGAAUCUUCCGCAAUUGGCGAAAGCCUGACGGAGCAACGCCGCGUGAGAGAUGAAGGUCUUCGGAUCGUAAAACUCUGUUAUUAGGGAAGAACAUAUGUGUAAGUAACUGUGCACAUCUUGACGGUACCUAAUCAGAAAGCCACGGCUAACUACGUG
rnacentral:rRNA from 1 species